GGAAAUUAUUUAUGGAUGGGUAGAUAAAUAAUUUCAAUACUUUGAACUUACAUGGCGCUCAUGAUAAGGGACAGCUUUGCUAACAAUGUCAAGCAAUUCGGCCAGCAAAUGUUCAAUACGCUGCAAACUUUUUGAUGAGACAUCAAGAACACUGAAGUCGACGAGUUUGGGCUGCUGAACUGAUGGAUGGACCAGCAAAAGAAAUGACAGAGCGAGGUUAAAGAAGACUUUGAAGGUGGACCUGAUAAGCCGUAACGAGGAAAAAAAAAUCCCAGAAAAUCAUGGCAAUGGCGAGACAAAAUAGAAGAGACAAAUUGGUGAG